GGGGAUGUUUUGGUUUUGACAGCAUCGAUGUCGGAUGGUAAGCACGCCGGGGGUCGUGGCCUUCCCCGUAAAUCUCAGACCUCAAAAAACUAGUUGGCAACAACAAUUACGCACUCGCUGCCUAAUCUACAUGUAGUUUAGCUUAAUCCGUGUCGCCAAGGCUGCGGCACCGACGAGUAUCCCGCCAUUCUUCAGGCCGGUCAUGAAUGGCACCCGGGGUAUCAUCCAGACCGGAUGCACGGCUCAGACGCCUCUAAGAGCCGCAAAGACACAGAGGAUAAGCUGCGGUCAAGGGCGUCUUCCCUCAUGCCGCCGCCGACAACCAAAGGAAGACUAAACGUGUAGAAAGCCCUCUGGUGCGUUGUUUGGACGGCGGUUCGAGUCCGCCCAUCUCCACUG
rnacentral:tmRNA from 1 species